rnacentral:lncRNA from 1 species
CUUCAUUUAGAGAAAUAAAUCACUCACAAUUUUUUAAAUUUAUACAACAUAUUUAUACAUUUAUGCUAAAAAAAUUAAAAUGAUUGUAUACAUACAAAAUCAAAGAAAUCUCACCUCAAGUCCAUAUGUUAUUGUAAAUUUGCGAAUUAUUCCGUUUUGCUCACUGGGUGGAAGAAUCCACAUGAAAUGAAUUUCACUUGGCUGGAUAUCUUUUGGGUGGAAGUUAGUCACCUAAAAAAUCACUUUUAUUUAUACGGGAUUGGGCCAUCAGAAGUCGUCUGGAAUCUCGGGAUCCGACCCCGUCUUUCUCGAAAAUUCUAGAUGCAGCUAAACAAGCUAGCGAAAUGAUAACAGCUGAAUGUUUUCGAUUGAGAAAUGAGGGUCGUACCCGGAGCAAUCACCCUAAAAAAUUGACUGUUGUGCUGACAAGUGGCCUUAUUGCUCAACCCCCAGGAUUAGCUAAUGCCCGGACUCAACCAGAAUAGCUCAAUGACUUGGAGAGGACAAGGGCAGUCGGGUCACCUGGAAACCUGGAAGAGGUGGUCAACGGAGAGCUGUCACGGUCAGGCCGGCCCCGGUGGGCUGUAGGAAUGGACGUCAAGAGAGACGCUAAGAAGAAUGUCGAGAGGGCCGUCGAGAGAGACGCCAGGAGAAACGUCGAGAGGGUUGUUGAGAGAGACGCCAAGAAGAACGCCGAGAGGGCUGUUGAGAGAGACGCCGAGAGGAAUGUCGAGAUGGAUGUUGAGAGAGACGCUGAGAAGAACGUCGAGAGGGCCGUGGAGAGACGUUGUGAGGGCAGUCGAGAGAGAUGCCUGGAGGAAUGUCGAGAGGGCUGUCGAGAGAGACGCCAAGGGGACCAUUGAGGGGGGACGCCGAGAGGGAAGUCAUGAGGGCAGUCAAAAGAGACGCCAGGAGGAACGUUGAGAGGACGACGGAGACAACAGUGCUCAUCAUCUGAACCACCUAACUGUCAGGAUCCUAAUUUUGCAGAAGCUCAGCAUCAUGAAUGGAAGUUAUAGUGAUAUAGGUUCAGGUCAUCAUUAAUGAAGGAGAAAUUAACUGAGUAAAAACAAAGAUAAAUAUCAUUAAUAAAUACUUUGAAAAGGAAUGGGCUGAGUAACGAGCGCUAAGGAGCUAAACCAAAUGAGGAGGGAGCAUGUAUUCCAAGGAUGAUAAGUUUUUGAAUAAGCAGAUACUGUAUCAACAUGUUGAUGCAUCGCUAGAGCUUUAGUUGCAGUCUUGAAAAAGAAGAUUUGUACAUGUUGAACGAUUAGGGUGGAAACCAUGUUGUUAAGAUAUGUGGACCUAUAGUUUGUAAUAACACAUUGAUUUCCACUCUUACAUAAAGGUAUUACAAAAUUAACAUUGAGGAAGGUCACGAAAACACCAAUUGACAAAGAUUUAUUGAACAAUAAUGAAAGCACAGGUGGAAAAGCAAACUUACAGCUCUUCAAAAUUAAAGGUGGAAUGUUAUCAGGUCCUGAACUCUUUCUAGAAUCUAAUUUUUACAGAUGUUCCAAAACCUUUUCAUCAGUAUAUUGGAUUGUCUCGAGGUAUUUUUAAAGAAUUAGAAUAGACACUACUAAAGUAAUCAACAAAUACUAUUAAAUUUUUUUCAGAAUUUUUUUAAAUAAAGUCUAGAAUAGAGACAGACUGAUCUGAGGCGAGAAGUACAAGAAGCAGUUUGUGGCCUGAAAGAUCUUGCCCUGGAGGGCAAUGGGUUUGCGGCUAGUGGGUUGAGAUUAGAAAAAAGAAGGCGAGUGAUCACUUCGCGAGACUAUCAUAGGUAGAAGUGGUCUCCGCAUAGAUAGGAAAGAAACUAAAAAUUAAAAACAGAGUUUGGGCUGUGUGGGCCCAGAAAGUGUGAGAUCUACGGUGUGAUAAGUUGAUCAUGGCGAACACAGCACUGCCUGAAGUAUGAAGGAUCUAGGUGGAAGAGUACCUUAUGGGUUCGUCUUUUUAUAAUUAUUUAUCAGGACUGAUAAUACGGGACUUUAGUAAUUAGGUGUAUGUCUCCUCUUUGUGUUAGU